rnacentral:rRNA from 1 species
UUGAACGCUGGCGGCAGGCCUAACACAUGCAAGUCGAGCGGAUGAAGGGAGCUUGCUCCUGGAUUCAGCGGCGGACGGGUGAGUAAUGCCUAGGAAUCUGCCUGGUAGUGGGGGAUAACGUCCGGAAACGGGCGCUAAUACCGCAUACGUCCUGAGGGAGAAAGUGGGGGAUCUUCGGACCUCACGCUAUCAGAUGAGCCUAGGUCGGAUUAGCUAGUUGGUGGGGUAAAGGCCUACCAAGGCGACGAUCCGUAACUGGUCUGAGAGGAUGAUCAGUCACACUGGAACUGAGACACGGUCCAGACUCCUACGGGAGGCAGCAGUGGGGAAUAUUGGACAAAGGGCGAAAGCCUGAUCCAGCCAUGCCGCGUGUGUGAAGAAGGUCUUCGGAUUGUAAAGCACUUUAAGUUGGGAGGAAGGGCAGUAAGUUAAUACCUUGCUGUUUUGACGUUACCAACAGAAUAAGCACCGGCUAACUUCGUG